GCUGGAUCCUUCCAUUAUGAUGCACAUUUUUCGUCUCUUCACACUCUGAUUGCCUUGCGCCUGCUUAUGUCUUCACGCCUGAUCAGCUGAAAGGUCCUGACACAGAACCUUUGACAAUGAAAAAUUGCUGUGACAUAGUGAUGUGAAACAAGGCAAAGGCAACAGCUGCAACACCACGGUCUGCAGGUGCAAACAGAACUGAGAUAACAGAUGCAGAUGCAUAACAUUCAUUAAGGCAAAAGACAGAGUGCAACGAACGCACCAGGUCCGUUUGCCUCUAUGGACAGACUCCCUUCUCAAGAACCACCUUCGACAGCCCCCAUCUAUAAUCUUUGCCCAUUCACCCGAAAAGGACCAAGACCUAAAAGGUUUCAGGCACCUUUAAACUGUGUACGGCCUGUUGCUCAGUCUUUCACCAAAGAGGUCAUUCUUCUGCCAGACCACACAUCUGCACACGUGCCAAGACGUGCCAAGAAAGUUUGGCUGUUUCAAAAUGGACUCGUUAAAUCUGCCUUGGAAUUUCAGAACGACUGGGACUCAAAUAGGGUAAUGUAGGAAAUAACAGCAGCUUUCCAUCCAGUUGUGGCAGGAUGCAGGUAAGCUUUUCAUAUGUUACCUUUAUACAUAAAAACUUUAAUUUAUAGUUUGUUUGUUUCUGUAAUUUUGUUUUAUUUGCUAUUGCAGUAUUUAAUUUCUGACAAGUUGGAUAAGACUUGCAAAAAAAAAACAACUGUUUGACUGCUGCUCAUAAUUUGUCAAUAUUUCAGCUCCUUUUUUUUAAAGUGAUGAAACUUAAACUUAGAUUGAAUAAUAAAAAAAAAAAAUUAUUUGGCUGGAAUAGAGUUAUGGCCAUGA